rnacentral:lncRNA from 1 species
UGCAAACUGAAGCUUUCAACCUGGCCUGGGAACCUUAAGAAUAUUUUAUGAACAAUCAAUCCACCGAACUGCACCUGUCAGCAGACCCCGGUUAACUGCACAGAGUACCUGAAAGCCAUCCCCUGUCUGAAUUCACACAGAAAACUUUUAGAGCCACGGCACUGUGAUGGAGGGAAAGAAGGUGUGGACCACACCUCAUGAGAUGUGCAAACAACAUGGCUCAUGACAAACCCAGCAGAAUGCUCAAUCUUUAGAAACCCAAGAUGGCUACAGCAAUACAGACCAUGACAAUUUUUGUACCUUAAUAAUUAUCAUCAUCAUCAUUAUCAUCAUCAUCAUUACAAUGGCUAAUGAAAUGUGGUAUCCUGGACUGGAUCCAAGAAAAGAAAAAAGACAUUAGUGGAAACACUGAUGAAAUCCAAAUAAAACCUGUAGUUUGAUUAAUAGUGUUGUACCAAGUCCCUUGUAUUUCUUAAGUUUUGAUAAAUGUACCAUGGCACUGUAAGAAGCUCACACUAAGGGAAGCUGGGUGAAAUGUACAUGGGAACUCUUAAAUCACUUCAAAGUAAAAAAAAAAAAUUUAAUGAUAAUGAAAAAACUUAACAUACUAUACUUGAAUACUACAGAAUACAGUGCAGCUACAGGAAAGAAUAAUUUAGACCUACAUGUAUAUUUAACAUGGGAAGAUGUCUGUGUUAUGAAGUUUUUAAAAACAGCAAGCUGCAGAACAGUAUGCAGAAUAGUAUGACUGCAUUUCCUUAAAAACUUACAUGCAAUGUUUGUGAGCAAUGUGUUUGUAUGCUGGGGAAUAGGAUUUUCACCUUGGGCUUCACAUGUGUGUAUUAAGGAAUUUUCACAACAGAUACACAUAAAUUCGAAAUUUAAGAAAGCCACAAUUAAAACAAUUUUUAACAUUUUAAGUUUUAAACACACAUAUCCCCUCAGAAGCUGCCUGCCAGGAAGGAAUGGAAGACAGUCUUCUGUCUAGGUUUUCUCUGCAAAGUGGAGAAUGAAUCCACAUCCAAGAACAUCCCUCUGCUCCACGGUUAUUUCCACCUCUAGGAAUAAGGGGUAUCACAUCAGUACCAGGCAUUUCAAGAACAGCAAGUUACUGACAAUCCUUGAAGUUAAAUGCUGGGUGCAUGGAUUCAUUAAAACAUUCUCUCUACUUUUGUGUACGUUUCACAAUUUUCUUUUUGUUUUCGCCCAAGCUAGAGUGCAGUGGCGCGAUCUCAGCUCACCACAACCUCUGCCUCCCAGGUUCAAGCAAUUCUCCUGCAUCAGCCUCCCAAGUAGCCAGGAUUACAGGAGCCUGCCACCACAACUGGCUAAUUUUUGUUUUUUUUGUUUGUUUGUUUUUUGUGUUUUGAGACGGAGCCCAGGCUGGAGUGCAAUGGCACGAUCCUGGCUCACUGCAAC